GAUCAGUGGCUACGAGAACGAACGCUGGCGGCGCGUCUUAAGCAUGCAAGUCGGACGGUAAGGAAGGAGCUUGCUUCUUCCCUAGAGUGGCGGACUGGUGAGGAACGCGUGGGUGACGCACCCUUCGGACGGGGAUAGCCGGUAGAAAUACCGGGUAAUACCGGAUAAGAGCGCCUCCUUAGAGGGAGGCGGAGAAAGCGGCUUCGGCCGCGCCGGAGGAACGGCCCGCGUGCUAUUAGCUAGUUGGCGGGGUAACGGCCCACCAAGGCGACGAUAGCUAUCCGGCCUGAGAGGGUGAACGGACACAUUGGGACUGAGAUACGGCCCAGACUCCUACGGGAGGCAGCAGCUAAGAAUAUUCCGCAAUGGGGGAAACCCUGACGGAGCGACGCCGCGUGGAUGAUGAAGGCCGGAAGGUUGUAAAGUCCUUUUGGGCGCAAAGAAUAAGUACGCGAGGAAAAUGCGCGUGCGGUGACGGUAGCGCCUGAAUAAGCAACGGCUAAUUACGUG
rnacentral:rRNA from 1 species